rnacentral:rRNA from 1 species
ACAAUGGAGAGUUUGAUCCUGGCUCAGGAUGAACGCUAGCUACAGGCUUAACACAUGCAAGUCGAGGGGAAACGACAUCGAAAGCUUGCUUUUGAUGGGCGUCGACCGGCGCACGGGUGAGUAACGCGUAUCCAACCUGCCCAUCACUUGGGGAUAACCUUGCGAAAGUAAGACUAAUACCCAAUGACGUCUCUAGAAGACAUCUGAAAGAGAUUAAAGAUUUAUCGGUGAUGGAUGGGGAUGCGUCUGAUUAGCUUGUUGGCGGGGUAACGGCCCACCAAGGCGACGAUCAGUAGGGGUUCUGAGAGGAAGGUCCCCCACAUUGGAACUGAGACACGGUCCAAACUCCUACGGGAGGCAGCAGUGAGGAAUAUUGGUCAAUGGACGAGAGUCUGAACCAGCCAAGUAGCGUGCAGGAUGACGGCCCUAUGGGUUGUAAACUGCUUUUAUAAGGGAAUAAAGUGAGUCUCGUGAGACUUUUUGCAUGUACCUUAUGAAUAAGGACCGGCUAAUUCCGUGCCAGCAGCCGCGGUAAUACGGAAGGUCCGGGCGUUAUCCGGAUUUAUUGGGUUUAAAGGGAGCGUAGGCCGG